GUGGGAAUAUUGACAAUGGCGCAAGCCUGAUCCAGCCAUGCCGCGUGUGUGAAGAAGGCCUUAUGGUUGUAAAGCACUUUAAGCGAGGAGGAGGCUACUUUAGUUAAUACCUAGAGAUAGUGGACGUUACUCGCAGAAUAAGCACCGGCUAACUCUGUGCCAGCAGCCGCGGUAAUACAGAGGGUGCAAGCGUUAAUCGGAUUUACUGGGCGUAAAGCGCGCGUAGGCGGCUAAUUAAGUCAAAUGUGAAAUCCCCGAGCUUAACUUGGGAAUUGCAUUCGAUACUGGUUAGCUAGAGUGUGGGAGAGGAUGGUAGAAUUCCAGGUGUAGCGGUGAAAUGCGUAGAGAUCUGGAGGAAUACCGAUGGCGAAGGCAGCCAUCUGGCCUAACACUGACGCUGAGGUGCGAAAGCAUGGGGAGCAAACAGGAUUAGAUACCCUGGUAGUCCAUGCCGUAAACGAUGUCUACUAGCCGUUGGGGCCUUUGAGGCUUUAGUGGCGCAGCUAACGCGAUAAGUAGACCGCCUGGGGAGUACGGUCGCAAGACUAAAACUCAAAUGAAUUGACGGGGGCCCGCACAAGCGGUGGAGCAUGUGGUUUAAUUCGAUGCAACGCGAAGAACCUUACCUGGCCUUGACAUAGUAAGAACUUUCCAGAGAUGGAUUGGUGCCUUCGGGAACUUACAUACAGGUGCUGCAUGGCUGUCGUCAGCUCGUGUCGUGAGAUGUUGGGUUAAGUCCCGCAACGAGCGCAACCCUUUUCCUUAUUUGCCAGCGAGUAAUGUCGGGAACUUUAAGGAUACUGCCAGUGACAAACUGGAGGAAGGCGGGGACGACGUCAAGUCAUCAUGGCCCUUACGGCCAGGGCUACACACGUGCUACAAUGGUCGGUACAAAGGGUUGCUACCUAGCGAUAGGAUGCUAAUCUCAAAAAGCCGAUCGUAGUCCGGAUUGGAGUCUGCAACUCUGACUCCAUGAAGUCU
rnacentral:rRNA from 1 species